rnacentral:tRNA from 1 species
GCGGUCAUGGCGGAAUUGGCAGACGCGCACGGUUGAGGGCCGUGUGGGGCAACCCGUGGAAGUUCGAGUCUUCUUGACCGCACCA